rnacentral:lncRNA from 1 species
GCUUUGGAGACAGACUCCAUGUUGCUGGCCAAGUCAUCAAUCUCCAUCUUCAGCUCACUCUUCUCCUUCUCCAGCUUCUGCUUGACUCGUUGCAGGUUGUCGAUCUGCUCCCCAAGCUCCGCUGUGCUGUCCGCAUGCUUCUUCCGCAGGGCAGCAGCCGUGGCUUCGUGCUGCAGCGUGGCCUCUUCGAGGUCACGGCGCAUCUUCUGAAAUUCUGCCUCACGCUUCUUGUUCAUAUCAAUCUGAGCUGCUGUAGCCCCUCCUGCUUCCUCCAGGCGCUCACUGAUCUCCUCCAGCUCCCUGGAGAGGUCAGCUCGGUGCUUCUCUGCUUUUGCCCGAGAGGUUCGCUCUGCCUCGAUUUCCUCCUCCAGUUCCUCAAUACGGGCCUG